GACGAACGCUGGCGGCGUGCUUAACACAUGCAAGUCGAACGGAAAGGCCCUGCUUUUGUGGGGUGCUCGAGUGGCGAACGGGUGAGUAACACGUGAGUAACCUGCCCUUGACUUUGGGAUAACUUCAGGAAACUGGGGCUAAUACCGGAUAGGAGCUCCUGCUGCAUGGUGGGGGUUGGAAAGUUUCGGCGGUUGGGGAUGGACUCGCGGCUUAUCAGCUUGUUGGUGGGGUAGUGGCUUACCAAGGCUUUGACGGGUAGCCGGCCUGAGAGGGUGACCGGCCACAUUGGGACUGAGAUGCGGCCCAGACUCCUACGGGAGGCAGCAGUGCGGAAUAUUGCACAAUGGGCGGAGGCCUGAUGCAGCAACGCCGCGUGCGGGAUGACGGCCUUCGGGUUGUAAACCGCUUUCGCCUGUGACGAAGCGUGAGUGACGGUAAUGGGUAAAGAAGCACCGGCUAACUACGUG
rnacentral:rRNA from 1 species